rnacentral:rRNA from 1 species
AGGACGAACGCUGGCGGCGUGCUUAACACAUGCAAGUCGAGCGAACCUUCGGGUUAGCGGCGAACGGGUGAGUAACACGUGGGCAACCUGCCCCGAGCUCUGGGAUAACCCCGGGAAACCGGGGCUAAUACCGGAUAUGACGCCGACAGACAUCUGUCGGUGUGGAAAGUUUUUUCGGCUCGGGAUGGGCCCGCGGCCUAUCAGCUUGUUGGUGGGGUAACGGCCUACCAAGGCGACGACGGGUAGCC